AUAGCUCAGUGGUACAGCAAGUGCUUAACAUGCACAAGGUCUUGGGUUCAAUCCCCAGU
rnacentral:tRNA from 1 species